rnacentral:rRNA from 1 species
UACGUAGGUGACAAGCGUUGUCCGGAUUUACUGGGCGUAAAGAGCGCGCAGGCGGUCGUUCAAGUCGAGUGUGAAAGCCCCCGGCUCAACUGGGGAGGGUCACUCGAUACUGAUCGACUCGAAGGCAGGAGAGGGUAGUGGAAUUCCCGGUGUAGUGGUGAAAUGCGUAGAUAUCGGGAGGAACACCAGUGGCGAAGGCGGCACUCUGGGCCGGUACUGACGCUGAGGAGCGAAAGCGUGGGGAGCGAACAGG